AGAGAAAGUGACCAACUACAAGCCAGAAGAGGACCCCUAUCAGGAAUUGGACUGGCCAGCCCCUUGAUCUUAGACUUCCCAGCCUCCAGAAGUAUAAGAAAUACAUUUCUGGGCCAGGCGCGGUGGCUCACGCCUGUAAUCCCGGCACUUUGGAAGUCCGAGGCGUGCGGAUCACAAGGUCAAGAGUUCAAGACCACCCUGACCAACAUGGUAAAACCCCAUCUCUACUAAAAUACAAAAAUUAUCCCAGCGUGGUGGCGUGCACCUAUAAUCCCAGCUUACUCAAGAGGCUGAGGCAGGAGAACCGCUUGAACCCGGGAGGCAGAGGUUGCAGUGAGCCGACAUCACUCCACCGCACUCCAGCCUGGGCAACAGAGCAAGACUCUGUCUCAAAAAGAGAAACAAAUAAAUACAUUUCUGUUGUUUAAGCCAAACAGUCUAUGGCCUUCUGGCUCAAGCUGACUAAGACAGCUGCCCAGAGAAUAUAGAACCCCUGGGGACCAUAGACACAAGAGGAAUUUGCAAUCACUCAAAAGCUUGUCUCCAUGGACCUCACUGGACCUUACAAAAAAGACUCAGUCUCUCGCUAGAAUGCAAGCUCCAUAAAGCAAGGAUUAUGCCCUAUGGCUCUCUUGACAUCUCUAUGGUCUCAAGCCUAGCACAGACCCUGGCAUAAUGUUCAUCAGAGUUUGAAGAAAAGGGAAAAGGAGAUCUGAGAAGUUGCUGGUGGAUUUAAGUUGGAUCAUUUUUAAUGUCCUUCAGCAGUCAUAGAUGGAGUCUCGGUCUGGAGUGCAGUGGCGCGAUCUCGGCUCACUGCAACCUCCGCCUCCUGGAUUCAAGCGAUUCUCAUGCCUCAGCCUCUGGAGUAGCUGGGAUUACAGGCACGCGCCACCACACCGA
rnacentral:lncRNA from 1 species